rnacentral:miRNA from 1 species
UGUGAUAGUUGUCUUAUUCUCC